rnacentral:rRNA from 1 species
AGUGAACGCUGGCGGUAGGCCUAACACAUGCAAGUCGAACGGCAGCACAGUAAGAGCUUGCUCUUACGGGUGGCGAGUGGCGGACGGGUGAGGAAUACAUCGGAACCUACUUUUUCGUGGGGGAUAACGUAGGGAAACUUACGCUAAUACCGCAUACGACCUACGGGUGAAAGCAGGGGAUCUUCGGACCUUGCGCGAUUGAAUGAGCCGAUGUCGGAUUAGCUAGUUGGCGGGGUAAAGGCCCACCAAGGCGACGAUCCGUAGCUGGUCUGAGAGGAGGAUCAGCCACACUGGAACUGAGACACGGUCCAGACUCCUACGGGAGGCAGCAGUGGGGAAUAUUGGACAAUGGGCGCAAGCCUGAUCCAGCCAUACCGCGUGGGUGAAGAAGGCCUUCGGGUUGUAAAGCCCUUUUGUUGGGAAAGAAAAGCAGCAGGUUAAUACCCCGCUGUUCUGACGGUACCCAAAGAAUAAGCACCGGCUAACUUCGUG